UACGGAGGGUGCUAGCGUUGUUCGGAAUCACUGGGCGUAAAGGGCGUGUAGGCGGUCUGUUAAGUCUGAUGUGAAAUCCCCACGCUCAACGAGGGAACUGCGUCGGAUACUGGCAGACUCGAGUACCGGAGAGGAAGGUGGAAUUCCCGGUGUAGCGGUGAAAUGCGUAGAUAUCGUAAGGAAGACCAGUGGCGAAGGCGGGUCUCUGGACAGUUCCUGACGCUGAGGCACGAAGGCCAGGGGAGCAAACGGG
rnacentral:rRNA from 1 species